rnacentral:rRNA from 1 species
AAUUACCCACUCCCAGCACGGGGAGGUAGUGACGAAAAAUAACGAUACGGGACUCAUCCGAGGCCCCGUAAUCGGAAUGAGUACACUCUAAACACGUUCCCGAAAAUCAAUUGGAGGGUAAGUCUGGUGCCAGCAGCCGCGGUAAUUCCAGCUCCAAUAGCGUAUAUUAAAGUUGUUGCGGUUAAAAAGCUCGUAGUCGAAUGUGUGUCCCGCGCCGCCGGUUCAUCGCUCGCGGUGUUCAACUGGCGUGUCUCGCGGGACGUCCUGCCGGUGGGAUCACGUAUCGUUUCGGCGGUGCGUCUCCCAACUCGUCUCCGCCUUGCGCGGUUGCGAAUCCCAUCGCGGUGCUCUUUAUUGAGUGUCGAGGUGGGCCGGCACGUUUACUUUGAACAAAUUAGAGUGCUUAAAGCAGGCCAGUUUUGCCUGAAUAUUCUGUGCAUGGAAUAAUGGAAUAGGACCUCGGUUCUAUUUUGUUGGUUUUCGGAACCCCGAGGUAAUGAUUAAUAGGAACGGAUGGGGGCAUUCGUAUUGCGACGUUAGAGGUGAAAUUCUUGGAUCGUCGCAAGACGGACAGAAGCGAAAGCAUUUGCCAAAAACGUUUUCAUUGAUCAAGAACGAAAGUUAGAGGUUCGAAGGCGAUCAGAUACCGCCCUAGUUCUAACCAUAAACGAUGCCAGCUAGCGAUCCGCCGACGUUCCUCCGAUGACUCGGCGGGCAGCUUCCGGGAAACCAAAGCUUUUGGGUUCCGGGGGAAGUAUGGUUGCAAAGCUGAAACUUAAAGGAAUUGACGGAAGGGCACCACCAGGAGUGGGGCCUGCGGCUUAAUUUGACUCAACACGGGUAACCUCACCAGGUCCAGACACCGGAAGGAUUGACAGAUUGAGAGCUCUUUCUUGAUUCGGUGGGUGGUGGUGCAUGGCCGUU